CAGUAAAUAGUUUAAAUAAAAUAUUAAUUUUGGAGAUUAAUGAUGAAUAUUAUUCUUUACUGA
rnacentral:tRNA from 1 species